rnacentral:rRNA from 1 species
AACACGUGGAUAACCUAUCCUCAGGUCGGGGAUAAACCCGGGAAACUGGGUAUAAUACCCGCUAGAUCUCGAAGGCUGGAAUGCAUCGAGAUCGAAAGCUCCGGCGCCCGAGGAUGGAUCUGCGGCCUAUCAGGUAGUAGUGGGUGUAGCGUACCUACUAGCCUACGACGGGUACGGGUUGUGAGAGCAAGAGCCCGGAGAUGGAUUCUGAGACACGAAUCCAGGCCCUACGGGGUGCAGCAGGCGCGAAAACUUUACAAUGCCGGCAACGGCGAUAAGGGGACCUCGAGUGCCAGGUUACAAAUCUGGCUGUCGAGAUGCCUAAAAAGCAUUUCAUAGCAAGGGCCGGGCAAGACCGGUGCCAGCCGCCGCGGUAACACCGGCGGCUCGAGUGGUAACCGUUAUUAUUGGGUCUAAAGGGUCUGUAGCCGGCCGGAUAAGUCUCUUGGGAAAUCUGGCAGCUUAACUGUCAGGCUUUCAGGAGAUACUGUUCGGCUCGAGGCCGGGAGAGGUGAGAGGUACUUCAGGGGUAGGGGUGAAAUCUUGUAAUCCUUGAAGGACCACCAGUGGCGAAGGCGUCUCACCAGAACGGACCUGACGGCAAGGGACGAAAGCUAGGGGCACGAACCGGAUUAGAUACCCGGGUAGUCCUAGCCGUAAACGAUACUCGCUAGGUGUCGGCCACGGUGCGACCGUUGUCGGUGCCGUAGGGAAGCCGUGAAGCGAGCCACCUGGGAAGUACGGCCGCAAGGCUGAAACUUAA